rnacentral:rRNA from 1 species
CCUGAUUGAUUCUGUCAGCGCGAUAUGCUCAAGUAAAAGAUUAAGCCAUGCAUGCUUUGAUUCAUCAAUGAAAUUGCGUACGGCUCAUUAGAGCAGAUAUCACCUUGUUCGGAAUAUUAUAUGGAUAACUGCGGAAAUACUGGAGCUAAUACAUGUCAUACAUCCCCAACGUAAGGCGGGGUGCAAUUAUUAGAACAGACCAAACGUUUUCGGACGUUGUUUGUUGACUCUGAAUAAAGCAGUUUACUGUCAGUUUCGACUGACUCUAUCCGAAAAGGGUGUCUGCCCUUUCAACUAGAUGGUAGUUUAUUGGACUACCAUGGUUGUUACGGGUAACGGAGAAUAAGGGUUCGACUCCGGAGAGGGAGCCUUAGAAACGGCUACCACGUCCAAGGAAGGCAGCAGGCGCGAAACUUAUCCACUGUUGAGUAUGAGAUAGUGACUAAAAAUAUAAAGACUCAUCCUUUUGGAUGAGUUAUUUCAAUGAGUUGAAUACAAAUGAUUCUUCGAGUAGCAAGGAGAGGGCAAGUCUGGUGCCAGCAGCCGCGGUAAUUCCAGCUCUCCUAGUGUAUCUCGUUAUUGCUGCGGUUAAAAAGCUCGUAGUUGGAUCUAGGUUACGUGCUGCAGUUCGCAAUUUGCGUCAACUGUAGUCGUGACUUCUAAUUUGCUGGUUUGAGGUUGGGUUCGCCCUUCAACUGCCAGCAGGUUUACCUUGAAUAAAUCAGAGUGCUCAAAACAAGUGUUUGCUUGAAUAGCUCAUCAUGGAAUAAUGAAACAGGACUUCGGUUCUUUUUGUUGGUUCUAGAACUGAUUUAAUGGUUAAGAGGGACAAACCGGGGGCAUUCGUAUCAUUACGCGAGAGGUGAAAUUCGUGGACCGUAGUGAGACGCCCAACAGCGAAAGCAUUUGCCAAGAAUGUCUUCAUUAAUCAAGAACGAAAGUCAGAGGUUCGAAGGCGAUUAGAUACCGCCCUAGUUCUGACCGUAAACGAUGCCAUCUCGCGAUUCGGAGGGUUUUUGCCCUGCCGAGGAGCUAUCCGGAAACGAAAGUCUUUCGGUUCCGGGGGUAGUAUGGUUGCAAAGCUGAAACUUAAAGAAAUUGACGGAAGGGCACCACAAGGCGUGGAGCUUGCGGCUUAAUUUGACUCAACACGGGAAAACUCACCCGGUCCGGACACCAUUAGGACUGACAGAUUGAAAGCUCUUUCUCGAUUUGGUGGUUGGUGGUGCAUGGCCGUUCUUAGUUGGUGGAGUGAUUUGUCUGGUUUAUUCCGAUAACGAGCGAGACUCUAGCCUGCUAAAUAGUUGGCGAAUCUUCGGGUUCGUAUAACUUCUUAGAGGGAUAAGCGGUGUUUAGCCGCACGAGAUUGAGCGAUAACAGGU